rnacentral:tRNA from 1 species
GCGGUUAUAGUUUAGUGGCAAAACGGGUCCUUGCCAAGGAUCAGAUUCGGGUUCGAUUCCCGGUAGCCGCA